UGAUUAGGAUAGAAUCAAAUUGAAAAAUAUCUAUCCACUUUUUGCUAAAAAGAAACAAGAUAAGAGAAAGAAAGAAAAGAUGAGCAAGGGAAAAAGAGAGAUACACGUACGAGAGGGAGAAGAGAAAGAAGAGAAAAGAAAAACUCACAACUGACCUAAGAUAAUUGUUUUUCUAAAUUUUCAGGUAGGUGAGAGCAGCACUAGACCUAGUUCGGCGACGGCGUUAGAGAGCCGUCUACUUUAUUGCUUCAGUCUCUGAGUCGCUCUGUUAGGAAGUCCUAUGGGGAACUAUAAAUGUCAAUUCAAUUAUUGUAUUGCUUUGAGAAUGUUAAAAAUUGGAUUAUGUCGUUUCAUUUUCAAACUUUGUUGAUUUGGAAUUCUUCGGACGAUCUAUUUUUAUUUUAAAAGCUUAA